UAGGGAAUCUUCGGCAAUGGGGGCAACCCUGACCGAGCAACGCUGCGUGAGUGAAGAAGGUUUUCGGAUCGUAAAGCUCUGUUGUAAGAGAAGAACGUGUGUGAGAGUGGAAAGUUCACACAGUGACGGUAACUUACCAGAAAGGGACGGCUAACUACGUGCCAGCAGCCGCGGUAAUACGUAGGUCCCGAGCGUUGUCCGGAUUUAUUGGGCGUAAAGCGAGCGCAGGCGGUUUAAUAAGUCUGAAGUUAAAGGCAGUGGCUUAACCAUUGUUCGCUUUGGAAACUGUUAAACUUGAGUGCAGAAGGGGAGAGUGGAAUUCCAUGUGUAGCGGUGAAAUGCGUAGAUAUAUGGAGGAACACCGGUGGCGAAAGCGGCUCUCUGGUCUGUAACUGACGCUGAGGCUCGAAAGCGUGGGGAGCAAACAGG
rnacentral:rRNA from 1 species